rnacentral:rRNA from 1 species
UACGGGGGGAGCAAGCGUUGUUCGGAUUUACUGGGCGUAAAGGGCGCGUAGGCGGCCACCGCAAGUCAGUUGUGAAAUCUCUGGGCUUAACCCAGAACGGUCAGCUGAUACUGCGGGGCUAGAGUGCAGAAGGGGCAACUGGAGUUCUCGGUGUAGCGGUGAAAUGCGUAGAUAUCGAGAGGAACACCUGCGGCGAAGGCGGGUUGCUGGGCUGACACUGACGCUGACAGCGCGAAAGCUAGGGGAGCGAACGGG